GACGGGGGUCUGCACGGGGGUUAAUUAGGUGAACACCACAGUGGAUACCUCCAUCCUUUGUUUACAUAAUUACACACAGGUGAAUAACGUUGAUGGUAAAAGCUGGUGAUUGGUGCACGGGGGAAAAGCUUGAGCUUUUAGGGACCCUGCUUGUAGUCACUUCACGUGUCUUGGUGGGGAAAACGGUUGCACGUUGCAGAGUGAGAGUGGACUAUCGCGAGUGGAGCGAAGACGGAGUGGCUUUGCCAACCGGAGGAAUAGCUGUUCCAAGACCACCGCCUUGCCUGUGGCCUGUGAAGUUGUCUGGGUGAAUCCCGCUCCUACACACUGCGUUGUUGGAUGUCUGAUGGGUGAAAUCGUUCACCCCUCACGAAGUUAAGUUAUUGUUUACUGUGCUACCUAGCUGUCGCUAACCCCUUGUGACUGUGAACCUUGGAUUACGAUUGUUAUCAUCUUAUUUAUGAGGGAUCGCUGUAUUCUGCCUUCCCUCUGAGAACUGCCACUGCUCUGCGUCUGCUUAACUUUGUGACUGUGUAGUUACUAUAUUGUGCACGCCAUUGACUUUGAACGUGCGUGUUGCUUUACCAAGAACUGUCCGAAUGCUUUGUGCUUGUCCGACACAUUUCCCACUGUGACUGUAGCUAUAUUGCACACGCUAUUGAUUUUGCACUGCUUUAUCGGUACUGUUUGAAUGCUUUGGGCCUGCCUGAUAUGAACUCUGUGGCUGUGUAGCUACUAUAUGGCCCACGCUUGUUGAUUGCAAUUGCGUGUUGCCUCCAGAACUGUCCGAUGCUAAAUGUGAACAAAUGCCCACUGUGAACUCAAUUUUAUCUCUGUGACUGUGCAAGCUACUAUAAGACUCACGGCUAUUAUCCCUGUCGCCUCAUUAAGAACUGCCUAUGCCCAUAGCCUAUUGCUAUUGCUCCUGCUUUGAGUUGACUGUGUGAAAAUAUUAUUACCCCUCUCUCUGGACUGUGCCCCUUAUCCACCUCCUCUGCCCUCCCCUCGCCAAUCAGAGUAACGUGGGCCAGCGUAGUGUAACCCCCAGCAGCCUAGCCUUAAUUGUAACAAUUGUGCAGCCACUGCCGUCCAGGGUGAGACUGGAUUACAACCUGGCCUGCUGCGACCAUUGGAGACCACCGGGGUGGAGAGCCGGCGACACAACGACCAGAGUGGGUGCGGUAGCCUACACUACAUCUGGUAUACAAUUCCGGACCCUCGACUGACGGACUGGAGAAGGGGGCGACUGGCGGCAACGGGGACUAUCCUUCAGUAUUUUCUAUUGCCAAGAAAUAACCUCUUUUAAUGACACUUUAAAUAAAACAUUUCUUAAUUAA